AUUGAACGCUGGCGGCAGGCCUAACACAUGCAAGUCGAGCGAGUGGCGGACGGGUGAGUAAUGUCUGGGAAACUGCCUGAUGGAGGGGGAUAACUACUGGAAACGGUAGCUAAUACCGCAUACCAUCAGAUGUGCCCAGAUGGGAUUAGCUGGUGGGUGGGGUAACGGCUCACCAAGGCGACGAUCCCUAGCUGGUUUGAGAGGAUGACCAGCCACACUGGAACUGGGACACGGUCCAGACUCCUACGGGAGGCAGCAGUGGGGAAUAUUGCACAAUGGGCGCAAGCCUGAUGCAGCCAUGCCGCGUGUUUGAAGAAGGCCUUCGGGUUGUAAAGCACUUUCAGCGGGGAGGCGUUACUCGCAGAAGAAGCACCGGCUAACUCCGUGCCAGCAGCCGCGGUAAUUC
rnacentral:rRNA from 1 species